rnacentral:rRNA from 1 species
UACGUAGGUGGCAAGCGUUGUCCGGAUUUACUGGGCGUAAAGAGCGCGCAGGCGGCUGGGCAAGUCCGAUGUGAAAGCUUCCGGCUUAACUGGAAAAUUGCAUUGGAAACUGCUCGGCUUGAAGGUGGGAGAGGGUAGCGGAAUUCCCGGUGUAGUGGUGAAAUGCAUAGAUAUCGGGAGGAACACCAGUGGCGAAGGCGGCUACCUGGCCCAUUCUUGACGCUGAGGCGCGAAAGCUAGGGGAGCAAACGGG